UGCCAGUAAGAGAUGACAAACUUUUCAAAAAGGUCAAAGGUCUUGAUCUAGGAGUAUGACAUUCCUCUCCCUUGCUCCGAGCAUUGACAUAGCAAAAUGCAAAGUAAGUAUGCUAAAAUUUUUUAAAGCUCUACUUAUAUAUCUUUCGAGAAGAAGGCAAAUGCCUCAGUUUUAUUUUGGAAACUUACAAACAACUCCAGAACAAAGGUAAGACAGAAGAACUUAAGACAUAGUGCUUGACUUGAUCGUUCUGUUUUUCAAUCACUUAAGACCUUAGUAAUAACUUAAAAACCCUGUAGUAAGAGGCAUAAAAGUAACCCCUGAUUUCUUGCUGAUUUUAGCUUUGCUCAGGGACGAGCAAAGGUUAAGCUUGGGGGAGCUUGUUG
rnacentral:lncRNA from 1 species